CGUCAUCACGAACGAAUCUCUGCGGUUCGACAACCUGGCGUCGUUCGCAAAUCCGAUGACGAUGUACGAACUUCUCGCAGGCGUCGCGCUGGCAUUCACGAUCUAUCUGACAUGGCACCGCUCGCGCAAUCCGCUUGCGCUGCCGGCGCUGCUGAUCGCCGGCGUGGUGGCGACCCAUAUCGUUUUCAACUUCAUGGGCA
rnacentral:misc_RNA from 1 species